GGAAGUAAACGUCGUAACAAGGUUUCCGUAGGUGAACCUGCGGAAGGAUCAUUAUUGGAUUUUGAAACUUCAGGCUGCUGCUGGCUCUCCUCGGAGUGCAUGUGCACGCUUGUUGUCCAUUAUUUCUCCCACUGUGCACAAAUUGUAGACCUUUCAGUAGGCCUAUGUUGUUUUUCACAAUCUCUGAAUGUAAUAGAAUGGUUUUGAAUCUUGGGAAAUACAAUACAACUUUCAGCAACGGAUCUCUUGGCUCUC
rnacentral:misc_RNA from 1 species